UGAUGUUGCUCUAAAUGGCCUAGUUACACCAAAUUCCUCACAAACGAAUCACCCACACCCAGAGCAUCCUGAAGUAGCCCUCUAUAUGCCGCGAUGCUUGGCCCCUGUGAGACCUGGAGGAGGUGUGGGGAUGGGCCCAUGCCGGCACCUCUGGCCGAGAAGAGCACUGCAAAAGGAAGCUGCUCAGAAGCCCCUGGGUGUUUCAGGAGGAGGAUUCACCCUUUGA
rnacentral:lncRNA from 1 species